AAUUAUUAAACAUUGAAUUCUUUUUUUUUUGCAUCCAUUAAAUGUUUUUCUUUGAACUUUGAAUUUUUCAUAGUUUGUUAGUUAUACAUUGGCAAAAAAAAAAAGUUAGUGAUUACACAUUAUUAGAUUUUCAAACUAUACAACACAUCAGAGUUGACAAAGAAGAUAAUAGAUACUUAGAUUAGAUACCAUUAAUGGUAAUGCAUGUCUAUUAUUUGGAUUGGUCCAUUAAUGAAUGUCAAUAGUAUUAGUUAUAAUGUGAUUUAAGUAUUUAGUCCGACAAUAAUGGGAAGUGGCAACCAGUAUUUGCCUCAUGACAAUGCUAUGCAGAUUAAUUAGUGAAAUUUUUAUUAGUCAUAGUUUUUCUCGGUAUCACAAAUUAAAAUUGGGAGAAGACCAACCAAAUCAAGUUGCAUUAUACUUUAAUUUUAUAAUUAGCAAUUACUUCUCGUUAUAUAAUUUCAAUUAGACCCAUGCGGUUAGAUAUUUAUUUCAUGGGCUCUUAUUGGGCCUGCUUACAACACUCGCCGUAUUUUAACUGUAGUGAUACACCGCGCGUAAAGCUGGUGGUGAUGGUUGUCCUCCCGAUCGCCGGUUGUGGUUGCUCAAAAUGACAAAUUUGAUGGUAAGCAUCACUUUAUAUGAUUCUACUAAAAACCCCAUUUCGAAAGCAUGCUCCUUUUUGUAAUUUAGAUUUGGUGAUUGUUAACAUUUGUUAUUUUCUAGUUAUGCAGCUUCUAUGGUGAACCGGGUAUCAUGUGAUAGCACUCUGGAGGGUUCAUCAGAGCAACGGAUUACUUCAGAUGCAGUCAUUGAGGUCAAUAUAGAGGUUUCUUUUGCGUUUAGAGUGUUUCCUGUGGGAGCUAUAGAGGCGACGGGGACGCAAGUUCUUGACCAGAUUCUUAGACUCAUGCUACCACGAUUCUUGUCUCAGCUCUCCAAAGACUAUCAAGCCAUGGGCUUCCGGAGACACUUCAAGGCAACCUCUUGGGACUGGCGAGAUCUGAUAGUAGAUCAAAAUGGACCUUACCUGGCUCAGAGAAGUCUUCAUCUUUUUCAAAUGUGUUCUUGUAAAAUGACCAUAGAUGAGUUUGAAUUCUCUGGAAUAAAAUUCUUUGAUA